CAGCCGCGGGAAGACGUAGGGGGCUAGCGUUAUCCGGAUUUACUGGGCGUAAAGGGUGCGUAGGCGGUCUUUCAAGUCAGGAGUGAAAGGCUACGGCUCAACCGUAGUAAGCUCUUGAAACUGGGAGGCUUGAGUGCAGGAGAGGAGAGUGGAAUUCCUAGUGUAGCGGUGAAAUGCGUAGAUAUUAGGAGGAACACCAGUUGCGAAGGCGGCUCUCUGGACUGUAACUGACGCUGAGGCACGAAAGCGUGGGGAGCAAACAGGAUUAGAUACCCUGGUAGUCCACGCUGUAAACGA
rnacentral:rRNA from 1 species